CCUCCCUCGCUUUUGGAGCUCCGACCUCAGCUUCGCCUGCGAGCUGGGUUGUGUAAAGGCUGGUCAUUUUGGGGCGCUUAGGGGUGGGUGCCGGGGGGCGCGCUUUCCCUCGUGAAGGUCGCUCCAGGAGUCAUGCGUACAUUCGUUCAUUUUGCUCUGGACGCACUGAUGUUCCCGGCUCGCCGCCGUGCCGCAGUCACGAGGCUCUCCGAACGCCUUUCACUGUGUUUCUGUUUACAUUCGCGUCUGCAAGACCCGGCGGCGCGACCGAGGCCCGAACAGAUGGAGAUGGGCUGCCAUGUUGUGAGCUGCCCCAUGGGGAAGAGGCUCACAUGUGAGGAACUGAGGGAGGCCUCCAGAAAACAGCCAGUGAAGAACUGAGACCCUCAGUCCAAUAGCCUAUGAGGAACUGAAUCCUGCUGACAACCAUAUGAAUGAGCUUGGAAGCAGAUCCUUCCCCAGUGAAGCCUUCAUGUGAGACUGCAGCCCACUUGACACUUUGAUUUGUAGCUUGUGACAGACCCCAAGCCAGAAGAGUCAGGUAAGCAGUGCCUGCACUCCUGACCCAUGGCAACUGGCAUGAUAAAUGUUUUUUCCCAUGAAGCUAUGUUUUAGAGUAAUUUGUUU
rnacentral:lncRNA from 1 species